CACUGUGUCAUGGAUAACUUUUUGUUAAAAAUGACCUAAAGGAAAUCAGAAUUCUUACAUCAUUUGUCACUCCUCUACAUAUGAAAACAGUAUUGUCAAUACCUGGAAAAUGAUUCCUUAGAGUGCCGUGGAUAUGACCAAUUUUAGAACCUCUGUCAUCAGCACAACUGCUACAAUAUUAUAUUCGUAGCGGCCACUUCUUUGAGACCAUGUUACAAGAAUACCUGUAGUAGAUUAUCACAAUUUGAUAUUGUAUUUUCAUAACAACUUACAUUUAAUUAAAAUCUAUUUUAUCUUGCCCA
rnacentral:lncRNA from 13 species